UGUCUUUACAAGCAAACAUAUAAUUGGGAUGCGUCCAUCAAUGGAAGAGUUAGAGCUGAGUUUGAAAAGAAGUUGAAGACCCGGAUGAGUGAUCAAGUGUCUCGGUGGAAGGGUAAGUGGAGGAAGAAAGGUAAUGACGCAAUGCCGCGGUGGCUUGAUCCUACUGUAUGGGAUGGCUUGGUCAACUUUUGGUGUGAACCAAAAUCAGAAGCAAAGAGUAUCAAUAGCCGUAAUGUUGGUAUAGUGAUCCUGAUGGCACCGAAAUACAUAAGCACCGUUCUGGUCAGACCUCUUUUAAAGCCCGAGCACGAAAGCUUUCUGAGAGUACUGGUGAGCCACUACCUGAUUUCCUGCGAGUACUAGCAGACACUCAUAGGAAACAUGAUGGGUCGUUUGUUGAUGGACUGUCUGAGAAGGUGUUCAAUGAAGUGUCGUCAAAGAUAGCUGAAGCUGAGUCUGAGCUAAUAUCAGCGGAUAACAUGGAGAGUAGUGCUUCUGGUGGGUUAUCACUAAUUGUGAAGAACCAAAUUUAUACCGAGGUAAAACAUAGUUCCUCGCAAAAUAGUUCCUCGCAAAAUGCGUGGGAUUUGCGAGGGACAACAUUUCCUCGCAAAAGUUGCGAGGGAAUUGCAACGUUGACCGAUUUGCAAGACGCGAUUUGCGAGGAACGGAUUUUUCUCGCAAAUUUCUCGCUUUUGUCGAUUUGCGAGGGAUUCGCGAUAUAUUUGUCCAUCGCAAAAGACGUGUUUUGUUGUAGUGAAAACGGAUCUCUUCAAACUCCAAAUAUUGAAGGAAAGAAAAUCAAACACAAAAUGUUGUAUAAUGAGUCUCUUCAUUUGAAACCAUAUACUACAUCCUACCAGAUUCACACAAUUAUUAGAAGAAG